ACGAACCGUCCAAACGUUAUUCGGUAUCACUGGGCUUAAAGGGUGCGUAGGCGGCUUGAUAAGUAAGGUGUGAAAGACCUCGGCUCAACCGAGGAAUUGCGCUUUAAACUGUCAGGCUUGAGGAAGGUAGAGGUAAGCGGAACUUGCGGUGGAGCGGUGAAAUGCAUUGAUAUCGCAGGGAACACCAGUGGCGAAGGCGGCUUACUGGGCCUUUUCUGACGCUGAGGCACGAAAGCUAGGGUAGCGAACGGG
rnacentral:rRNA from 1 species